AUUUGCUCUUAAUUGAUUUUGUCAAGAAACGAACAGCAGUUGAUGGAUUAAACCUGUUAUUACAAAAAAAUAUUGUUAGUAUAAAUGAUCUAAAAGAAAUAUAAUUUACUUACUUUCUCAAAAGCAUAUUAUUUAACUUACUCAUUUCCAUAAGGCUCUAUUUCUACAAGACCUUUUUGAUCAAUUUCUUCAUCUUCCUCAGCUUCAAUGGCGCCUACUAAUUUCUUGAUCAAUUUCUUCAUCUUUCUCAAAAAACCAAAUGCAUUGUCAAAUGAACUGGAAUUAGUACAAAAAGUGACUGAGAGAUGAAGUAAAAAAGAUAGAAAAAGUGAAGAAAAGUACUUGGUAUGGAGUUCAGAGGCGAAUGUUUUCGAGUCGUUUGCGUUCAUAUGCGGUGGGUUUUGUAGGCGCCAUUGAAGUGAAGAGUGAAGAAAAGCUCUUGGUAUGGAGUUCAAAAGAAAAGGCUUAAUUUGGAUAUCACACUUGUGUAGAUGAAGGCAACAUACUCCUUAGUGUCCCUAAAAAAUGACAAAAAAUUAUGCAAUUCACAAAUAAGUUAAAAAAGAUAN
rnacentral:lncRNA from 1 species